GUUGAACAGAAGAAUAAGGGGAAAUGGACAGCCAAGGCCCAAUAUUCCCAAACCCACAAGAAAUAAUUUUAAUGGAAAACUAGGUGAAUCACCUACUUAAAUGUGUGGCUCAAAUUAUAGACAGUUGUUGGCUGCAAAUGAAGUACAAGAAAGGUGGCAAAAGGGCCAAUGUUCUUAAGACCAAACAGUCCAAAUGAAAAGUCCAAGUAGGUGGGUCACCUACUUGACAAAUUAUGGCCCAAAAUGAGUGAGAAAGUCGGCCAAAGCAGGGUCCCUUUAAAAGAGAUUGAUAUCAGCUUUUUCCAACCAUUUUUACUUUGACAAAAAAUCUGAUUACUAGAGCUUUAUCUCUUCUCUCUCUUAGAUUCAUACAACAACCAUUAAAUACCAUUAGGUUCUUGAAUAAUAGGUAUUUUCAAGCUAUUGAAAGGUGUAAUUUAAGACAAGUUAAGGAGGACAACUUUUACCUUGAAGAAUCCAAGUUUUAGCAAGUGGUAGUUAUGUCCAGCAAGAUCAGUGAUCUGAAGAGAAGGAGCUUAAGUCAUACUUUUUGAAUUGUAUAGCAAGGUAUGUAAGGCUAUUUGAUUUCUUAUUUCUUUGACAUGAACCCAAAACUUGCAGUACAAAAAGUAAGCUUUCUAAGUGCCCUUGGUAGUGACUGAUCCAUAGUUGCAGUUCCUACUCCCCAGAGCAUUGAAGUGAGUACUCUAAUAUGAGUUUGUUACUAAAUGUGCGUGUUUACUCUAUCAAGUGUUAGCAUGCAAGGUUUAAACUUGUUUCAUUGCCAAAUUACCCAUGGCAUGUAUCCUCGUUACAUAAGUCAAAGUGAUCCUAGACUACACAUGGUACAAUCUGCCUAUAUCAUGCCAACUUGCUUCCAUUGUUUAUAGAUAUGUCAUCUUGUCACAUGUUCAUAUGUUCCCUUCUUUGUUAUUACUCACAUUGUGUUAGACUAUAAUGUUACCUCACAGGAUCACUACUAGCUCAAUUGUACGUUUAUAUGUACUUACUUGGAAUAUGUAUCCGUCCUUAAGUUGAAUCUGCCCACAUUCCCCCUUGGUUCCACAUUCAUGAACACCUUGUAUUUGUAUCAUAUAAAGUUCAAAUCUCUUGGUUGAAUGUCAAAUUGUCUUCACUAGAUGUGCUUUGAUUGGAGAUAUCAAAAUGCUUACCGAGUCAUAUAGGCUCCUAAGUACUACGUUCAAGUCACAUUUGCUUCCCAUGUCAUUAUUAAUAUCGUAAGUUCAUAUUCAUAUGUCUUCUAAUACUGGUCCGUAGAUCCAAAUCUAAACCAGGAUUAUGACCACCAAAACAACAAUCACAAACAAGUUAUGAACAUCAAAAGAACAAUAUCAAAAGAGUUAUGAUUAUCUAAAGAACAAUCCCAAAAGAGUUAUGAACUGAUAAACAACAAUCUCAAAGAUGAAAGAAUCUAAGUGAAGUAAUCUAUAUGAUUAUGAGUGGCAGCUCAGGGGCGAAAGCUUAGCAUGGGCCGAUCCCAAUUGGUAUAACAGGGUGGCAGCCCAGGGGCAAAAACCUAGCAUGGGCCGAUCCCAAUUGGUAUGGAAGGGUGACAGCUCAGGGGGCGAAAGCCUAGCAUGGGUCAUCCUCUUCUACCGUGAUCAGCUGGUCAUUUGUAUCAUAUGUUGUAUAAAGAUUAUAAAAAGUACAGAAAUGUAAAGAAUAGAAUGUAACAUGCACGAUUCCACAAGUACAAAGCAAAGGUGGUCUCUAAUCCUUAUUUAUUGGUAUUUGGUUUCACUUGAGCUCUCAUGUUAAAUAUGGUUGUAUUAUGCCUUACAUAUUCAGUACAUUCUUUCGUACUGACGUCCCUUAUUGGGGACGCUGCAUUUCAUGCUGCAGGUACAAGUACUCAACUAGUGGAUCUUCCCAUAGAAGCACAUUAUACUCAGCGGAUGUUGGUGAGCUCCAGGUCGAUUCGGGGCUUUGCCGAGUCUUUACUAUGCGUAUUUUCAUAAUGGUACCAUCAUGGAUUCCAGAAGAGGCUUUGUAGACAUUGUAAAGCUACCAUCUGUAUUCAUAGUUUCACUUAUCACAUAUAGCGGUUCAGCUAGUCAAAAUGUGUUGUAUAUGAAGCUUCUCAUCAGUAAUCUGCAUAGAAGUGUACUUUCUCAUCAUAGAUUACUUGUAAAGCAUGUGUUCA